rnacentral:lncRNA from 1 species
GCAUAGGAUUUUUUUUAUUUAAAAAUGAAGUUAAACAUUGUUUUUUUAUUUUUUAUAUUACUAAUUGAGAUUUCGUAUAACGAAGUCAUUUCAAAAGAAAAAGGUAAAGAGUAUGGGAUGUACUUACAUGGACCGCAUUAUCCUCAUUACGCUGGAGCGCCUGCGUUCGGAGGAGUAGCACAAUACCGUCAUGAAAAUUAUGAUGGAGGAGUAAAACGAUAUCGAAUAAAAAACUAAGUAAUUGCAAUAAAACAUUUUAUAUUGUACAAC